GAACAUUCCCAAAGUUUCAUUACCCUAGCUCAUUUCGUUCAAAAGUUAGCAGGGGUGGGACGGACUUUUGGUACACCCUGUAUAUUCUCUCUAUAUGCCUUCAUUUCUGAUUUAGCAGUAAUUAGGGUCCUAAAUUUUAGUUUUUUUUCUUCUUUUUUCUUUCUUUUUUUUCUCUCUUCAGUCAUUUCUCUUCUUUCAUACUCACAACCCACUGAAAAGAAAUUUUUCCAAGUUUUUAAGUGGAGAGGAUUGGGGGACAAGACGCACAGAAAUUUUUUGAAUUUUUUCUAUUCCAAGAAAUAUGUGUUUAUAGUUUCAAAAUUUCGUAGGGCCUAAUGGCGGAAAGGAAUAGUUCAAGCUCAAUUUUUGAUGCUUUAAAGUUGGAUUUUAGUUGUGAAUUUUCUAAGGAUAUUAUAUACCUACUCUCAAAUUAGAUUUACUUAGAUGAGUUUAUGAAUAUCUCAAUUUUUUCAAAAACUGUACUGAAUGAGCCUUGUUCUCCAAGCCCUUCUAUGAUUAAUUUUGUACCCUAGCUCUUAUCUCAGGUUACCAAUAUGCCACCUUUUUCGUUUGGACGCUUUCCAGUGUUGUCGAGUUUAGACUUUGUCCGGAGGUGGCUACCGCCACCCAUGAUAGAUUCACCACGCUAUACCUCUCCCUCACCUGAGAAUUCCUGGGUUGUUCCAUGAAAACAAUAGGAAUUUUUUAUUUACAUUGUGUCUUACACGUAGACCGCGUUCAGCAGAAAGGAACCAAGCCACAUCAGCCAUUGCCAAAUUUGAUCGGCUAAUUUAAUUUUUUACAUGAAAACAGUUGUGCGGAUUUUCGUGCAAAUUUCAGUGAAUUUUCUCCAUCGUACGAAGCAAAUUCCUUAACAUUUUCAAAGGGAUCCGCACAAACGUUUUCUCGUAAAAAAUAAAAUGCCCAGUUAAAAUUGGCUAUAGCUGACGUGGCUUGGUUCCUUUCUGUUAAACGCGGUCCAUUUGUACCUUCAGAUGUUAAUUUCGGACAAGUUUUGUCUGCUUUGAAAAGAGUAGGAAAUAUGUUGAUUUGAGAGAAAUCGACGACUCCUUUCUGGUUUUUUUUCAGUAGGAAAUGAAAUUGUUAUUUUUUCGAAACGUCCCGGGUUUUUAUGUUAUUGCAGCUUCUCCUUAUGUUACUUCAUUGGUUAAUUAAAUCGUUCAUUAUUACUCGAAGGCUCCACGUAUGAUCAAUGUGAGCUAAAAGCCUAUCAUGGAAACUUGAGUCGUUGAAUUGGGAUUAUUUAUGUUUCCGUCAUCUCGAGCUUUCCUUUUCUUCAAUCUCUCUUUUCGCAUUUUGAAGUGUCUAACUGAAACUUAUCAUUUCAACCCACUCGUACAAGCCCUUGUUUGCCCCCCCCCCCCCCAAAUUUCCUUCUCGCAGUUUCGAGGGAUUACUUUUCCAACAUGAGAAAAUCUCGUGUAAAAUUUGAGCAAUUUUAUUGAAACCGAAAAGUCUCCCU
rnacentral:lncRNA from 1 species